UUUAUUGGUUUUUUGUUAGCU
rnacentral:piRNA from 1 species